UGGGGAAUAUUGCACAAUGGGCGAAAGCCUGAUGCAGCGACGCCGCGUGAGGGAUGACGGCCUUCGGGUUGUAAACCUCUUUCAGCAGGGAAGAAGCGAAAGUGACGGUACCUGCAGAAGAAGCGCCGGCUAACUACGUGCCAGCAGCCGCGGUAAUACGUAGGGCGCAAGCGUUGUCCGGAAUUAUUGGGCGUAAAGAGCUCGUAGGCGGUUAGUCGCGUCUGCUGUGAAAACUCGAGGCUCAACCUCGGGCUUGCAGUGGGUACGGGCUGACUAGAGUGCGGUAGGGGUGACUGGAAUUCCUGGUGUAGCGGUGGAAUGCGCAGAUAUCAGGAGGAACACCGAUGGCGAAGGCAGGUCACUGGGCCGCAACUGACGCUGAGGAGCGAAAGCAUGGGGAGCGAACAGGAUUAGAUACCCUGGUAGUCCAUGCCGUAAACGUUGGGCGCUAGGUGUGGGGUCCAUUCCACGGAUUCCGUGCCGCAGCAAACGCAUUAAGUGCCCCGCCUGGGGAGUACGGCCGCAAGGCU
rnacentral:rRNA from 1 species